rnacentral:lncRNA from 1 species
AAGCUAAAUAUGGCCAUGUGACUGAGCUCUGGCAAUAGGACACAAUCAGAAGUGGUGUGAGCCACCAUGCCAUGAGGAAGCACAAGCAACCCGUGGAAAAGCCCAUGUGGAGGAGAACCAAGACCCCCAGCCAAAUACCCUGCUGAGCUCCCAGCUGACAGACCGCAUCAACUUGCCAGCCACAUGAGUGAGCUGUCCUGGACGCGAGUUCUGCAACCUCUGGGCAAGCCAC